CCAUCACCUGCUUCUUCCCAUGUGUACACCAGCAGGAAGCGUUACUGGGACUUGAAUCUAGGUACUCUACAUGGAAGGUAGGUAUCCUAAGAGGUAAAUUUUUAACUGGUAGGCCAAACAUGCAUCCUGAGCAUUUUGUAUUUCAAAAUUUUGGGUUAAGGGUGUUUAACUUAUAUCAACAAAUAAAAAUUUUAGGACUAAAAAGUAUAAUAGCUAUAAUAAAACACUGCAUGGAUUGAACUGCAGAAUUACAAUGACAGAAGAAAGUGGGAGUGGAAUUAAAAGAUAAAUAACUAUUAUUCAGUGUUAACAGCAGAGAAUAAGAAGAACCAUAAUUAAGUUAAAGAAUCUGUUCUCUCCCCCUGCCACCCAGUGUUAAGAGUCAGAGGAAAAUGACACAUUAUUUAUAGGGAAACAUUAUGAGUGACUGACUAUAGAUUCCUCAUCAUUAACUAUGGAGUCCAGAAGCAAGUGGAACAGCAUUUCUUACUGAUGGACGGAAAGAAGAGAAUAGCAAACAGAAUUCUAACUGCCAGGGAGGUGAAGGUGAAAUAAGAACAUCCUCAGAUUACGUAAGACUGGGAGAAUUUAUUGCUUGUACACCCAGUGUGCUAUUGGCAAGAGGAUAGCACAGUAAUCAGUGGAGCACAACAGAAUCCAAAAGUAGACCCAUACAAAUAUCUCCAGUUGAUAUUGACAAAGGGGCACAAAACAUGCAUUGGGGAAGAUAAGUACUGGAAAAACUAGACAUCCAUGUGCAAAAAUUAGUAAAGAAGCUCAACGCAAACCUCACAGUUGUGCACAGUUAGUUCAAAGUAGAUAAAUGUAAAGCUGUACGAGUCGGUGAAGCUACAGGAACUUGGAUACAGUCUCUUCUGUUUCCUAGAGCAUAAACCGAAGGCCUGGCCUGUGGUAGGUACUCAGUCAGUAUAACUGAAUGUGUGAACUGCUGCUACUGGAGAAGAUGGAUAAAAUGAACUUCAGAGUACUUACACAAAGAAAGAAGACUGGAAAACUAAUACUAUGGCAAUAUUAUUUUUUAGCUUCAUUUUUCUUAAGUUAAUUUUGUAUGUUUUAUAUGUCCAAAUUAUAUAAGUAAUGAAAUAUAAUUAAUGGGUGAUUUUGAUUAUAAGAAGUUUUGAUGUCUUCCUUAUAACCUCUAAUGUGUUAUCAGUCUUAAUAGUUGUAACAUUUUUGAUUUAUGUUUUCUUGUUCAUUUUGUGAGCAGCGUGUUACUUUCCAGUUUUCCAACUGUGAUCACCAUAGCCUUAUUUGCAUUUUAAUAUUCUAUAAUGUUUGUUUUAUCUGUCAAGUUAAACCAAUGGUCUCAAGAAUCACUGGAAGCAGCACAGACAGCAGAUGUUCAGAGAUCUACCCUUGUCUCAGAGACAUCAACUAAGAUGUGUAGGAAGUUAAUAAAGGAGGACAUAUACUGUACAUCUUUCAUUGUGGCGCUCUACCAUCAGUGGAUAGACCAUUUCACAUAUAAUUAUAUUAUAGAGGAAAUGCAGUCUUCACCGCUGGCGUGGCUGGAAGAGGAAGCACUAUCGUUUCUGAGGGGUAAAUGCAUCACCCUUCAGUUGCAUGGUUUUUGUCAAGUGACUGAUUGCUUAAACCAGCGAAGUUCCCUAGUGUGCACUUGGAGUGGCCGUUAUUUUCCCUUUCAUUGAAAUCUCAUCAGAUGACUUCCAAGAUUUAUUGCCCACAGGUCAAAUCAUACUUCAAAGUGAUGAUCUCAGAUUGGCAUGAGUGGUCUAAAAGACCACUUUUACUCUGAAAUAGAUUUGCCAGUUUUUAGUUACUUGUCUUUAAAAAAUAGGUACCAUGUGUCAAAAUUGUGGAAGAAAUGAAAAAAAAAUCCUUAAUGUUCAAGUUUCUUUUAAAAUAAACUACUUGAAAAGCAGUGAAAAAGAUCUUCUAUUUGCUGGUUCAUUCCCCAGAUGUCCACAGUGUAUAACACUAUUAAAUUUUCUUGAUUUAUAUUUUUAUUCCUAUGUAAUUUAUAAUUCUUAGAAUACUGUUUUUAAGUUUCCCAGUUACUUUUCAUAUUUCUUAUUUCCUAUUGAUAAUUUCUAGUGCUACCAUAACAUGUACAGGUAAUGCUUUCUGUAGCAGUACUUUUAGGAAGUAGUUGCAGUUUCAUUUUUUAUAAAAUAGUUACAAUUAGGGCAAGUGCUUUGUGCAGUAGUUAAGAGGAUGCUUGAAUGCCUGCAUCCCGUAUUAGAGCGCCUGGGUUUUGUCUCAGCUCUAGUUCCAAGUCCAGCGUCCUGCUAAUGUGCACUCUGGGAGGCAGCAGGUGAUGGCUCAAGGGGUUGGAUUCCUGCCACCUGCAUGGGAGAACUGGAUUGAGUUACCCGCUCCCAACUCUGGUCUGCCCCAGUCCCAGCUAUUGCAAGCAUCUGGGGAGUGAGCCAGUAGAAGGGAGAUCUGCCUCUCUGCCUUUCUAAUAAUAAUUAUUUAAAAAAAAGUCACAUUGACCAAUUUUUGUAAAUAUAUUCCAGGAAUCUCUGUUUAUAAGGUCUAAUCCCACUUAUGUUUUGUAUCUUAUUGUUUUAUUUUUUUAUUUUUUUUCUUGGACCUGUCAAAUUUGAAAGAGCUAUGUUAAAAUAUUCGUUGCUGUUGUCCUGUCCCUUUCUUGGUUUUUUUUUUUUUUUUUUUUUUUUUUGGUUACAUGUAUUUUGAUUUUGUGUUUUUGGUUUACAGUUCAUGGCCUUCAUCAGAACCCUUAUUUUCCCAUUAGUAAUUGCUUUUACUUAAUGAUCUCAAUACUGAGAUCCCUAGUGCCCUCUGUCCUCUACCUUGAGUUGCAAAGUAUGUCUAAAGAGACGUUGUGCGAGAGUCUGUAGAUGUAUUCUACAGUGCACUUCUGCUAGGAGGUAGUUUUUAAUCCUAUUGUCACUUUGUUUACUUCAGGAAGAAAACCACAGAGUAAAUUUAUUUGUGGGCCAGCAUCUCCCAUACCCUGACCCUGUGCCUUCUAAAAGCUGUUAUUCUUGUUUUUGUUUUUGUUUUUUUUUGUUUUUUUUUUUGUUUGUUUGUUUGUUUUUUUGACAGGCAGAGUUAGACAGUGAGAGAGACAGAGAGAAAGGUCUUCCUUUUUCCGUUGGUUCACCCCCCAAAUGGCCGCUGUGGCCAGUGCGCUGUGCUGAUUCAAAGCAAGCCAGGAGCCAAGUGCUUCCUCCUGGUCUCCCACAUGGGUGCAGGGCCCAAACACCUGGGCCAUCCACCACUGCACUCCCGGGCCACAGCAGAGAGCUGGACUGGAAGAGGAGCAACUGGGACAGAAUCCAGUGCCCCAACUGGGACUAGAACCAGGGGUGCUGGCGCCACAGGCGGGGAAUUAGCCUAGUGAGCCGCGGAGCCGGCCUAUUCUUGUGUUUUGACAGUGUAUAUUGUGCCUGAUUUUAUUAUCAUGACACUAUGUGCAAGAUCAGUAUUUCUUUAUUUUUUCAUGUAGCAUAAAACUACUUUUUGUUUUGUUUUGUUUCAUUUUUAAGCUUUGUGUUUCAUUACUUGAUUCUUUAGAUGUGGCACUGGCAAAGUCAUUCAGUAAUUUUUGUUUGAGUUUCUCUGAAAUAAUCCUGACCUACUGUUGAAGUGUUUUGUUUUUGUUUUGUAUUGCUUAGAAAAGAGUCCAGAACAAUUUUAUUAAAAUCAUAUUGCUCUGUAGAUAAGCACAGGCCAUAUUUUUGAGAGUUUCCAACUUAGAAUAAUUUAUAUAUACAACAUCCAUUUUCAUUCAGUACUAAACAUUUGAAACUACACUGGGCAACUAUAGGAUAUUGGAAUUUUUUUUUUUCAGUUAAUUCAACUAAUCCUCCUUUUUUGUUCAAAUUUUGAAAAUAUAGUGUUAUUAGAGCCAACGUAAUUUACAUGAUACGUAAAGGAAAUUCAUAUUAAAUAUGAAUUUAAUACUGGCUUUGGUUAUUAUUUCUGUCCUUGUGUGGAAGAACUGUUUAAACCUUUUAAUGCAUUAAACUGGGCUUUAGGAAGUUAUUUUGGUGCCAGUCUCAAAGGACAGAUCGCUGUUCUUUCCUACCCAUGAAACUAGGUCGCUGAUGCUUGGCACAUCCCUGUGACACGGGAUUCGUGUGACGUUCAGGUGUGCAGAAAUGGUGAUAUGCCAGCAGGGCCACUUUUCAUUUCAUGAGCAUAAUUUCCAGUGCCCUGGAAUUGAUGUAUUCCUUGACCUGUUAAUGAUGACACUGGGUCACUAGCACUUCAAAGGCAGAGGAAGCCUCUGGAAAUGACCAUAGUCAUCUCGUUAGGUGAUGAGUUACAGGGUUUCUGUUCAGCCUGGGGGUUUGGCCUGUUGAGGUGGUUGACAUUUUAGCAAACGUGGGUCUGACGCACAGUGGGAUUCCCUGCGUGAAGUGGUUGAGAAUACUCCUCUGUCAUCUCUAAUGGACAGUCGUCAGUUCUCUGAAUCUGUGGCUUCCAUCUCCACAGAACCAACCAUCCUCAGCGUGAAAAUAUCCUAUAAAAAUGCGUCUGCACUGGACAGGUACAGACUGUUUCCUUGCCAUUAUUCCAUAAGCAGUACAGGACAGCAGCUAUUUACAGUGUGUGAGGUGUUGUCUAGAGAUGAUUUACAGGUACAGGAAGGUAUGUGUGGGAGGUUCUGUGUAAACACCACCCCACUGUGUUGGGGGAACUUGAGCACCUACAUGUCUGAGCAUCCCCGGGGUCCUGGAAUCAGCCUCUCCCCGUUACUUGGGGGACACAGAGACAACUGUAGUUUGGGAUUGUGUUUUCCUUUGAGCAACUUUAAACAUGCUUAGGGAAGUUUUCUGUUCUCAUUCACCAGCAAGAAACAAGUGCUUGGUAGAUAGGAACUAACCACAAGGUUCCUCUAGAAUUAAAUGAACAUUGGUCCUAUAAUAUUGCAUGUCUCAAAUGAACUAUUUUCAAAUCAGUCAUGUAUUGGUUUGGUGUUUCAAAAAGAUGAUGAGAAAAUACAAACUACCCCAAAAUCUCUAACCUGUCCCAUCUCUCUGGUGAUUUGGGGCCUUAGCGGGGCUCCUGGUUCGAAUUCUCCCUCUCUGGCCUCGGGAAAGUGCGUUGCAGGUCUGUGCUUCUGUGUUCGAGUAGUUGUGCAUAUUUUAUAAUGGCAUUGUAAGGACAAUGGGAAUGAGUGCUGUGCAGAGCUUUGGAAGGGUUCUGGCAGAUACCCACCGCCCAUCUGCGUAGUGUAGGAGCCAUGGUUAGUGUUGCUCAGUGUGCUUUAUAAAGGUCAGCGUUCUUUUUUGCCAUGUUUGUUCCUUUCUUGCCCAGAAAAUUGUUAUUCUCUUCCCUGCAGUGAGGGGUACUUAGUUCUAUUCGGUUUCCCCAACAGGGCAAGUUCUAGGAAGAGUAUCAUUCUGAACUACUCUAGAAGGAAAUUCUCAUAGGGUUGACCAUAUCCUGUGUAAUUUAGCCUGGCAUAAUUGAACAGGAACUUCUAAACUGUAGAUUAGAAGGUAAAACUGCUAAAGGCAGGGUAUGGAUUUGGGGCCUUUUCUGUGCUCUAGUUUAUGAAUUUCUCUGUUUAGGAGACUUUUUUCCCCUUGUGUUAUGUACCGCUCACUUUCAUCUUAUUAUUGUUAACAGAAAGACAAUUUAUUUAAUGUGAAUUAAGUCUUGUGUUCUUCAGACAUAUAUAUUGAGCUGCCAAUCUAAGUUUACCUCAUUCUUUGAUAAUUUCCUUACACUUGAAUUUGCUGUUGUGAAAUUUUCACUAAUUAUUUAUUCAUAAGCCCCCAAACCACUAUUGGGAAUGUGGUGGAUAGUAAAGUCUUGCUAAAUCUGAACAGAUUUGGAUUUUAUUUGAGUGUACUCAAAGCGCGUCACUAGAUAGUGAAAUAAGACCCUGAUGGACAUCAUGUCCUCUUGCAGUUUGCAAUUACAUCUGUCUGCUGUGUGGUGGUGUGGUGUUCUGGCACCCCGCGUACCCUGAGGGAAGGCACUGCUCCAUUUUGUUGACUCCUGUAUCAGCAGUGCUUGCUAACUGAUAGGAGCUUACAAAUGUUUGUAGAAUGAACCGGAUGAUUUUUUCCCCCAAGUUUUGUAUUUUUGAGAAUUUUAGAAGGCAUACCCAGAAAUUGUGUUUUAUGUUCUUGGAGUUUAUUUCUACAGAAAAUACAUAUGUUGUUCACAUUUGGGUUGUGCUUCUGUGUUUUUGUUACAGUUUGUUUUUAAAUAGGCAUCAUUUCAGUGCCCUUUGGGGACAGAUGAUUCCGAUUGUGGGGAAUUUGUAGAAGCUAUUUCUCCACUGUGAAUAAAACAGGCCUUGAGAGAGACAAAGGAAAGGUUAAGAUUCAAGAGUUAUUUUGUGACUGCACAAAAUUAAAGCUGCGGGAAGUGUCAGAGAGCCUCAUACCUAUUUUAAAUACAAAUGACUGAAUCUUCAUGAGUCAGUGACUGCUGUGGAAAUGGAGCCACCCCGCUCUCAAUGCCUGGUGUUUGGGUUUUGGUGUAAUUAUGUUUUACUGAUUUACCUCAUAAAUGUACACAUAUGGGUGUUAUAUUUGAUGCCUUAAAUAUUUCAGUUAUAGAGACAGAGAGUUUUAAAAAUACUUCAGUUUGUACCUCUGUUCUGUGCAACCUUAACUAAAAUAUAAAUUUCUAAUGUCUGCUGAUGUUACAGAAAUCUAAAUUGCUGUUCAAAUCUGUGAAAUGUAGCAUAUUGGUUUUCAGCUGUUCUCACAGACAGCGCUAGUUACCAGCCACUUAGCUGCACUUCCGCACUAGCCAGUUGGAGAAGAAUCCUUUUGUCCUGCUCUGUAAGAUCUCAGGGAAGAGCCUUCUCUUUGGUGUUUGUUAAGUGAAGGGCUUGGUGAGUGGUCUUUUCAUCCUGGCCUUGGCAACACCUGUACCCUUCUUUCUCAGCUUCUGGGUUGCAGCUGUGUGGGGUGGGGGCGAGGGGCUUUGUCCCCUUCCAAGGCACCAGUUCUCUGGCUUUGGCAGCAGGUCCUUACCAGAGGCGGGCAUCUGGGGCAUAGCUUGGGGCUGCAGUCCUGGCUCAUGGUAUCUCUAGCUUCCUGCCUGUUUUUGUUUGUUUUAAAUACAAUUGUUCAAUGUUCCUGUUAAUUUAGUAAGCACCUUUUCUGUGUGAAACAGCCAAAAGAUGGUUUCUAUUGCUAGCUGCUGGAAAGUUUGGUAAUAACUAUCCGUUUUCUACCCGCCUACAUUCAAAUCAAUGAGUGUAUUGAUGCUAAAGCCAAGUGUUACAUGGGCUUAGAGUUUUGCUCUCUGGCGCAGCAGGUUAAACUGCCUUCUGCAGUGCUGACAUCCCAUAUGGGUGCCAGUUCUUGUUCCGGGUGCUCCUUUUCUGAUCUGGCUCUCUGCUGUGGCCUAAGAAAACCGUGGAAGAUGGCCUAAGUGCUUGGGCCUCUACACCCAUGUGGGAAACGUGGAAGCUCCUGGCUUCAUCCUAGCCCAGGCCUGGCUGUGCAGCCAUUUGGGGAGUGAACCAGUGGAUAGAAGAUCUCUCUCUCUUUCUCUCCCUCUCUCUGUAAUUCUAUCAAAUAAAUAAAUAAAUCUUAAAAAAAAAAAAAGAGAGAAUCUUGCUGCUGCUUUUCCUACAGAGGAUGUUGUAUACCUACUAUGACUUACCUGAUUUCCAGUGAAGCAUUUUUGUUGGAUUAUAGGUCUGGGAGCUGUGUUCAUCUCUGUCAAGUAUUUUGUCAAGCGCUUCUAUGUACCAAACACUUGUGUCUGGAAAUACAGCAGUGAACAGAGGAGACAAAGACACCUGCCUUCGUGCAGCUUGCUUGCAAGGAGGUGUGCAGAUAAGUAACAGGUUAGAUGCUGUUAAUGUGACAAUGAGAGAGACUGAGCACGUUAGGGAGGCGUAUGAACCGAGGGGCCAUCAGAGUGAGGGUUGAGAUGACCUGGGGGGACAAUGAGAUGAUUGUGAUGGUCCUGAGGCAGAGCGGGCAGAGCGUGGGCCCUGGUCCCAUUUCUGCUGGGACAACGCACAAACCCAGAUGGGAGCAAGGCUCACAGCUUGGCAACAGCCUUGACUCCUGAGAUGUCCGGGUUGGUGCAGGGUCCUGACAGGACAUGUGGAAGUAGCGUCUUGGACAACCACUGUGGGCAGGCAUUUGGCUCAGGGGUUAAGAAGCCACUGAGAUGCCUGCAUCCCAUAUCGGAGUUUUUGCAUUCGAGUCCUGACUCCACUUGAAGCUUCCUGCUGAUACACCACCCCCCUCUCCCUGCAAAGCAGCAGGUGAUGCCUGAAGUACUUGGGUCCCUGCCACCCACAGGGGAGACCUAGAAUGAGUUCUGGGCUCCUGGUUUCAGCCUAUCCCUGCCCUGGCUGUUGCAGGUCUCUGGGCAGUGAACCAGCAGAUAGGAAGAUCUCUCUCUGCCUUUCAAAUAAAUAAAUAAAAAUUAGCUCAUAUGUCCCUUCAUUCUAUAUGUGGGAUACCUAUAAAGACAAAUUGAGCAAUAAAUACACCACUUAUGACAUCUUUGAAAUAAAUAAUGUCAUUGAAAUAUUUGCAGAAUUGAAAACUUGAGGCAUAAUGAGUGAGUGAGUGAGUGAAUAAGUAAAUAAGUGAUCAAGUCCCAGCAGCAUGGGAGCAGCCUGCAUGUACUUCAGCAGGUGUAGGUACAAUGAGCUUAAAUACACAGUUGUAGAAGGUGGUUUUUCAAAGUACAUUAGAACUAACAUUUAAAUACUCUACUAUAAACAUGGUCUAUUAAAUCUGGGCCAUAUGCUCUGUCAUCCUGAUGUCUAUUUCAGUCGUGGCACUGCGCACAGAGAAUGUGCAGGACGACCAGAUUUUGGAAUAGCAUCAUCUCGAGGGGAGCUGCUGUGUGUUUCCUUAUUUAACAUACAAAAGCAUCUGACACCUGAUACCCGCACACUAAUGCAGUCCUUGUGGAAGUGGCUACUAGUUAUAGAUGCUUAGAAACAUUGGGAAGAUUCACAUUUCAUUACAAAAGAACUGAUAGGAUAUUUUACUAAACAGAACAGCUAUAUGUAUAAGUAUUUGUCAUAGGAAAAGUCCUACUCAGUGUUGGGUCUCCUUUCCUCACCUUUAAUUUUCGCUAAAUAUAUUCUGACUAUUUAUUUUUGUCAAUGUGAAUAUUAAAGAAAGCUAAGUAGAAGCAAUCUUCAUGUUUUGUUGAUUACAUUCCAGGAAAAAAAAAAAAAGGAAGAAAUGGCAGAGCAUUAAGCCUGAAUAGCAUUUGCUAUAAUUACCCUGUGUGAAAUAUAACUGGUAGCUGUCAAGCUUUGAUUGAAACUUACUGAAGGUUGACACCAGCUGCAUGCAUUAAUUGUUUCAGCAAGCAAGUGCACAUACUGCAGUUACCAUUUGGAAGCACACUCAUUUCUGUUUAAUUUGUUGUAAAGUAUUUUAUGAUCGAGUUUGGAUGAGGGCUGCCAAAAGUUCACAUUUAUCUUUUGCUUUAUUUCCAGCAAACAAGAGUUCCCUUAGCUAAAUCCUAAGUACAUCUAUGAAAGUGAUAUUUCCAAAUUGUGCAAUAUUGAGCACUUGGAGGAGGGAGCUCCUAAGUACCACUUUAAAGGAGUGUUUUGAACCAUGCUUCUUUUAGAUGCUUUUUUUGGACUCUUGAUAUUUAUUCCUAAAUAUGUGAAUUUCAGUUUAUGAAUAUCUUUUAAUAAAGCAACUUGAUCAUAUUAGAUUAUUUAUUUUUUUAUCCUUUUUAACUGGAAGGUUGCAAUCUCCAAUGUAGUUUUUCUGUAAUCAUAUUCAGUCUUCACAAAGUGCAGGUGUUUUGGAAAGCAUUGAGACACACACAUUAUCCUCUAUCCUAUCAGUGACGCACACCAGCAGGGGAGUAUUUGUGCGCCAUUCACAAGUGUAUUUCUGUGGGUGCACAGCCGCAGCGUUUGAUCUGACAGAUACUGUGUGCAGCAGCAGGCAGGCUCAAGUUCUAGUUCCUUAUUCACAUCUUUUUAAAAAGAAUUUGCAGUCUUUUUGUUUUAGUAAUAGAUGCUAUUUUUAAAAAAAAUGUUUAUUUUUAUCUACCUGAAAGACAAAACAGCAGAGUAGGGGAGAGAGAGGGAGAAAGAGAAUGCCAGCCAUGUUAUCUGAGUGUCCCAUGUGGGUGGCAGGGGCCUAAGCACUUGAGCCACCAUCUAUCUGCUGCCUCCAGAUGCAUCACCAGGAGGCUGGGUUGGAAGUGGAGUAGCCAGGACCCAAACCAGGUGCUCAGAUGUGGGAUGUCCCAAGCCACAGCUUAAUUCACAGUGUCCUAAUACCCACCCCUCUUAUUCAUACUGAUCAUGAUUGGAGUUAAAUGGAGAUUCUAGUUGGAGGUGAAACAAUAGUUGUUUAUUCCUUUAUUGUCCCACAAAUGGAAUCUGUUUUAAGUCCAAUGGGAACCCAAACAGUGUGCUUAUGUUUUAAAGUCAUCUACAUGUGAAUCCUGGGAAAUAGUUCAGUGUCACUGGAUGGUAGAGAGUAUGCGUAGACAUUUGUUGUUUUUGGCCACUCUGCAUCUGUCUCCUUUGCUGCGAACAUCCUGGUGUCCAUGGGGCAAGCACAGGGCCUGUUCUCACCUGGUGGGGGUCUGUGCUUCCUCUCCUUUGGUAGAGCCUCGAGCCCCUGCACUCUGGGCUCUUCCGCAGGGCCUUCCAGCAAGAGGUGGUGCAGGGUGCUUGGACAGGGCUCUGGGCUGCUCUGGCUUCCCCUCCACACAGCGCCUGCCUUCCUCUCUGCCUGUCAUCUUUGAGAGCCUCUAUUGGCUUCUCCGAAUCUUCCCCAAAUCCCAGACUUUUGCCUUAUGCUAACCAGCAUCAAUAUUCGGUGCUUACAACCUUCAUAAGAACUUCAAUGGACUUAAGAAGUGAAUCUUUUUAAAAUUUAAAGUGAAAUGUUAAUUUUACUGCUGGUUCGUGUCAGUUUGAAGCCAGCUUAAACUCCAUUACUGGUAGACAGUUCUUCCACAAGACCCGUGAACCCAGCCAGGUGAUCCAUUUGUUUCUCUUUGCAGUUAGGUUUCAAAGAUUGUUUUGUACCGAUCUGGAAAGCAGGCCAUAAAGGGGUUUGACAAAGAUUUUCUGUGUUGCUAAAUUGUUUUAGGAAUGUUUCCCAGUGCCCCAAUAUUUAAAGCGAUGGUUAAUCCCCAGCCAUCGGUUGAUGCUUUGUGUCUUAAAGGGGUAGACAAGCUAGAACAGUUCUUCACAGAACUUUUAUGUAAUAUAGUUAGUUUAUGUAUUUUCACUUUUCAUUUGAGAAAGAGGUAGAGUGAAGUCUUCCAUCUAGUAGUCCACUCUCCAAAUGCCUGCAACACCCAGGCUUAGGCCACGCCCAAACCAGGAGCCUGAAACUCCACCUGGGUCUCCCGUGUGAAUGUCAGGGACCCAGGUACUUGAGCCAUCACCUGCUGUUUCACAGGCUGUGCUAAUGCUUGCAGCUGGAUUAGAAGGGGAAUAGCCAGGACUCAAACCAGCCAUUCCCAUACGGGGUUUCCACAUCUCAAGCAGUGACUUAACUGCUGUGCCAAAUGCCCACGCCUAAUGUAGUUUUAUUAGCAUAAACAAAAUGUAAACUGACAGUUUGGGGUAGAAGUAAAAGAUGCCUGAAUCUUUAGUAUUAUAUUAUGGAAUUCACUCAUGCAGAAUAAAAUAUACUUUUAGCAUUGAAUGUAUUUGUUUUUUAUUGAAAUUAAAAUACUGUUGGGAGAAUUAUGUAUUAAAAAGAAAUUAAGAAUGAUUUGGAAUGAAAUGGAUAAUUGGAGUUCUUACAUUUAGAUCUGUCACUGCAUAGUUUUUAUAUUAGCUCACUAUUUUGUUUCUAUCACAACUUUUCAUUCUAAGCCUUCUAGAGUUAGACAUUUCUGUACUUAAUUCAUCUUUUAUGAGGGAGCUCAUGAAGAAUGAUUUCUCAAGUAUAUAGAGAAUGUCAGGGGCUGGCACUGUGGCUCACCAAGUUAAGCCAUUGCCUGCAGCACCAGCAUCCUAUAUGGGCAGCAGUUCGAGUCCUGGCUGCUCCACUUCUGAUCUACCUCCCAGCUAAUAUGUCAGGGAAAGCAGUUGAAGAUGUCCCAAAUGCUUGGGCCCCUUUACCCAUAUGGGAGACCCAGGUGAAACGCCUGGCUCCUGGCUUUGGCCUGGCGCAACCCUGGCUGUUGUGGUCAUUUGGGGAGUGAAUCAGUGGUUGGAAGAUCUGUCUGUCUUUCCCUGAAUCUCUGUAACUCUGCCUUUCAAAUAGAUACAUAAAUCUUUUUUUAAAAAUGAAAAUGUUAACUAUCAGAAUCAUAUCACCUCAUUAGGAUAAACCUAGAUAGAAGAAUAGUCACAGCAGCAUGUCGCUUUUAUUCUUGUUUGUUUUGUAUCAUGUACGGUAUCCUGGAUGUAUUUAAAUAUAUCACAAUUGAGUAUGUGUGGCUGUACUUCAAAAGAACAUUGUGAAAUAGUUUGAAUUGAUAUAUUGACAUAAAAACUAGAAGUGUUUUGGGAUUUAGACAGCAUGUCUUGGGGUGGGUGUUGGGGUAUAGUGGUGGACCCUGCUUGGGAAAUCUACAACCCAUAUUGGAGUGCUUAAUUUCAAGCUCCCACUCUGUUUCCCAUCCAGCUUCCUGGUAAUGCACAUCUUGGAAGAUAGCAGGUGAUGACAAAAAUACUUGGGUCCCUGCCACAGACCCAAAUAAAGUUACUUUUUUUAAGAUUUAUUUAUUUACUUGAAAGGCAGAGUUACAGAGAGGCAGAGGCAGAGAGAGAGAGAGAGAGAGGUCUUCCAUCUGCCAGUUCACGCCCCAGAUGGCUACAAUGGCUGGAGCUGUGCUAAUAUGAAGCCAGGAGUCAGGAGCUUCUUCCAGGUUUCCCACGCAGGUACAAGGGCCCAAGGUCUUGGGCCAUCUUCUACUGCAGAGAUGGAUUGGAAGAGGAGCAGCCGGGACUCGAACUGGCGCCCAUAUGGGAUGUCAGCAGUGCAGGCAGUGGUUCUUCUACCCGCUAUGCCACAGCUCCAGGUCCCCCAAAUAAAGUUAUGAGCUCUUGGCUUUGGCUUGGCUCACCCUGGGCUUUUGUGGGCAUUCAGGGAAUUAAACAGUAGUUGAAAGAUCUGUCUGUAUUUCUGUUCUGUUUCUGUGUCUGUCACUCUGUCUUUCAGAUAAAUGAAACGUUAAGCGUGUCUCUGAAAUGUCGUGUUCUUUUAGUGUGAGUUGGUUCUUUGCACAUGCACAGGUUUGCAGACACUGUGUGCCCUCCUGAUGUAGGAAUGAGUUACCUGGAAUGAGUUCAUAAUCCACAGUGUGUUCUCCUUCUGGAAGUGGUACAGGAAUCUCACAUGUAAUGCCAAAGUCUAAUUUAACCCAAAGUUUAGGUGAACACUUGUGAUUUCAAGCUCAAAAGAAAACAGUGUCUCCGUGUGAAUGAACUUUAAAUGGUGAAAUAGCAGCUUGGAUUUGGAGCGAGUUAGGGUUGCUGGUCUCUGAGAAGAGGCUGACUCCACAGGUUCUUAGUUGGCUUUCUCCAGGGCAUCCUCCUGCUAUCCAGAGUUGAUGUGGCAGAUCCCAGUGGCCAUCGCUGAAGUCGGGAAUCAGUGGGCGAGAUCGUGGACCGGGAAGUGGAACUUAUGUGCAGCGUGAUGUCUACAGGUGGAAGGCCAGAACCAACCAGUCCAUGCUCUUGCCAUUCUCCCGAGAGCUAAGGAAAAGGUGGCCAUCUCCUUAAGGAAGGGAAAGUGUUCACAGGAUAGGGAAAAGCAGAUGGAACAGGGAGAUGAACUGCCUCCAUUGCCUUCUGCCCUCCUUGCCUGCCCAGGGCACCCAGGGCAUGGGAGAAGCAAUAGCCAAAUGUCCCUGAAUGUCAGCCCUUGGCUCCUUGAAGCUACUGACAGCCAGGAUGGGGAUUGACAGAAUUACAGUUUGGGGGAUAGUCUCAUGGAUGCUUUCCACUUGGGAGGGCUGGCUCCGGGGACAAGCAGAUAAGGUCCAAAGGAUUCAGGAAAUGCGGGCAGCUGAAACCCGACUUGAACACCUUAAGUUAAUCUACCUGGCUGUUCCAGCUGUUGAACAAGAACGAGACACUUGGAGAAGGAAGCAGAGCAGUGGUGGAUGUGAAAGACCAGCCUCAUCGUCAAGGUGUGGAGUUAAGGAGUCAGCCGUUUGUUAAUUGAGUGACAAGUUACUGAUGAUGAAAGGUUACCUAGGUCUCUGAACAUGUCUUUCUCUAUAAAAUGAAUGAGGCAAUAGUUAUAUUACAAAAAGGUUUAUUUUAUUUGUCAUCUUUAAAAAAUUCUUUAUAAGCUAUAAAACACCAUGGAUGUGGCAGUUAUCCCAGCUGCUGCUAGGUUGCCUUUGUCUGGUGUGGGCAUAGCGAGUUCUCAGCUUUAGUGAUGUACCAGUGGGUUAAGCUAGCUCUUCCUUUUCUGUUGUCUGGACUGAAAUCAAAAAACCCAGUGACCUCAAGAUCUGGUUUUGUCCCUAACUGUAGCUUUGCUUUUCAAACUCCCAAGCAAAGCACACCUAAAGUGAAACAUAGCUGUGGAGCGCACAAGCAGUCUGCCCCAUCUGUUUACAGACCCUGAGGUCUCAUUUUACAACUUUAUAUAAAGCUUGCUCUCUAGCCUAUGCUGUGUACCAUUGUACCUUGGAGACCAUACAUACUUAUGAUUAAGAUGCUAACAGGGAGGAGGAGCUACUGCCUGCUGUGUUACUUGUAGGUAGAAAGGGUUGCCUGAGCCUGUGGCUUCACAUGCCCACGGUUGUAGGGGCACAGACCCAACUUUUGGGCCCUUCUUGUUUAAGAAGAUGGGACUCUGUGAGGCCUGGUGUCCGGAUAGCUGUCUGUGACACCUUGUUGUAACAGUUAUUAUAAGGGGUUUGAUCUGAUUACAAAUCAAGUGAUCUGACACGUUCAUUUUUACAAGUGGGUUUCUAGAUACUGUGUAUUCUUACCUGUGUAAGCCAGUUGCAGAGGGCUUUAUUCAAAGUCUAUUGUUGUAGAAGCUACAAAUUAACAAAUCUUACUUGCUUAAAAUAUUCUUGAAGACUAGCCAUCAAUACGUGACAUUUUAUUAUAAUCUUUCUACUUUUGUGUGUGAUUGUAACUUUCGGUUCUUAAAAGGAAAAACUUUUUUUUCACACCUUGAAAGGCAGAGAGAGGGAGGGAGAGAGAGGGAGAGAGAAAGAGAGAUGUCUCCCGUCUUCUGGGUCACUCCCCACAUGGCUGGAACAGCAGUGCUGGGCCAUGCUGAAGCCAGGAGCCAGGUCUCCCCUCUGGGUGACUGGAGUGCCAGCACUGGAACCAUCACCCGCUGCCUCCCAGGUGCAUUAGGAGACUUGACAGCCUGAGAGCAGUCAUUCCCAGAGAUGGCAGCGAUACAUGGGCUUCUGUUUAAUGGACCCAUGAAGAGCCAGCACAGCUAAUGAAAAGGAGGUGCUGCUUAUUACUGUGUGCUUGUGAAACUACAGCGUUCCAAGGAUGAAGAGAAGAUCCUAAAAGUUUUCAUAGAGGAAGAGAAACAAGUUACCUGUAUAUGAAGACCUAUUAAACUGGUGUUACAAAUUUUAUCAGCAACACUGGGGGCUAGCAGUGUUGCCUACAAAACCCAAAGGUAAACAUACUUUUGAAUCUAGCAUUCUAUGCCUGGCACACUAUUGGUCAGAUGUAACAGCAGAAUAAAGACAUUUACAUUAUGCAAGGCCUAGAAAAGUUACACCACCCCCACCCACACUCCUCUGUGUGCAUUGCCUUUACUAGGAAAAUAGUGGAGUGUGUACUUGGGUAAACCUAAGGAGUAAGUUGGCCUUCAGGAAAUGCAAGAACCACUUAAUUGGGCAAUCAGAGCAAAUCUUCCUAGGAAUCGUGGCUUUAACUUAGAUCUGGAGAUUAUCCGUUCCACACUGGAUGGGGGGUACAAAAGGCUUCUGGGAUAAAGCUGGCAUCGACAACGUGGGGAUAACUCUCUCUUCUGUGACCCCAUGUUCACAGAGGGCAAGCAGUCAGAAGCUCCUGAAAUCCCUCACCCGCCUCAUGGCCUCAGUUGGGUAGAGGAAGGCCAUGCUUUUAAUCAGUCAAGCAAGAAAAAGAGGUCCAUUUCAUCUUAAAACUAGAAUUUUAAAAUUUCUUGGAGUGGUCAGGAAAUCACGGCACCCUGGGUUCUAGUCCCGGUUGGGGCGCCAGAUUCUGUCCUGGUUGUUCCUCUUCCAGUCCAGCUCUCUGCUAUGGCCCGGGAGUGCAGUGGAGGAUGGCCCAAGUGCUUGAGCCCUGCACCCCAUGGGAGACCAGGAGAAGUACCUGGCUCCUGCCAUCGGACCAGUGCGGUGCGCCGGCCUCAGCGGCCAUUGGGGGGUCAACCAAUGGUAAAGGAAGACCUCUCUCUCUGUCUCUCUCUCUCACUAUCCACUCUGCCUGUCCAAAAAAAAUAAAUAAAUAAAAGAGAAUGAAAUGGGAUUUUAGCACAUAUCUUAGCCUGGCAUUAAAUGAUAUUUAUGUAUCAUAGUAUGGAUGCCAUAUUGUUGAUUUUCAAUACUCUGAAGUAGUCUGUGAUAAAGAAGCCGUGAUUGCUGCUUACUUCAAGUUAUGAAUGGCUGUGCUCUUGAUGUUGUUAAAGGAAAACUGUAAGCUUACCAACUGGGUCGUGGAAGGUCAGAGGCAUUAUGCAUUGUGGUCCCAGUGUCAGCAAGGAACUAAUAGACAUUUGUAUGUCUGGGGCUUAGGACCUAGGACAAGCACAUCUCAGAUUCUGACAGGUCAGAGGACAACUCAGAGCCAUCUGUGGAUUUAUGUCUCCUUUAAUCAGAAUGGCGGUGAAAAAUGCACCACUUACAGCCACUUGUCUCCAAUCCCUGCCUUUGUGUCCAUGGCAGCAGUUGGACUGACACACAGGCAUCUACACACAUCCACAUGCAGGCAACUGUAUACGUGUCCACAUCCAUGCACAGGCAACUGCACUUGGCCAUGCCCCCCAGUUGCUUCUAUGGGUUUACAGACAAAAGUGGCCCAGAGCCAAACCAUUGCAUAACAGAUGCAUGAGCAGCUUAGCCAAGCAGGAGGACCUGCCCUUACUGUAGACACACAGAGAUAUGGGAGCACAGAGAUAAGGCGACAUGGGCCAAAGGUGGGGGAACUUGAUAAACACCCCCUUCCCAACUUCAUCUCUUCAACAGCAUGGACAAGUUCAUUUCUCAAGUAUUCUGUUUACUCACAAAUGGGGGGGAGGGCUGCGGCAAGGGUACAAAUACCAGAAGUACAGAUGAGCUAAAUUCUGAUUUUUACUUUGGAAGAAUCAGUAGGCAUUAUGUAAAGUCAUUAAAUCCUAAGUCCUAUUGAUAAAGCUUAUUGCUCAGGGAAUAUAGAGAAAACUAAAACAACUGAAAAAAGUAGAAAUUUUAUCUUUGUGAGUUGGACAUGGUGUGGAGAGGAAGGGUGAAAACACAUAAAUUCUUGUGUAUUAUUAGAUUUCUGUGUACAUAUAUUUUGAGAGACAUAACAAAAUAUUUUCUAAUUUAGUGUUUCACUAAUCCAGGCCUAUAAUGAAAUUUGCUGAGGAGAAUUUGUCUGAAUACUUGAUUAUGGUUUUAGGAAAUAAAAUAUGUGAAAACUUUUGCUCUGCUCUUAGUUUUUAACCUGGCUCAUUUUAGAUAGCAACAGAAAAGUUGAGUGAAUCAUUGUUUUUACCAUCAUUUAACCUAACACUUUGUUUUUCCUCAAAGUAUUUGCACUCUUAUACUGUUACUUACAUGGAGCAUGAGUGCACCUAGUUUACUUUUAUGUCAACAGAUUUGAAAUGUAUUCCUGGGUCUAACAGGCUAAGGACAUGGAUGACACAGAUGAUGCUUUGUGUGGUAAACCCUGGUAUAGACGUGAGGAUGGAACUUACAAAUUCUCUCUAAACCAGUAGAUAGACAUCAGUAGACAUCUGCUCAUUUGGAAUUAACUCAGAAGUGAACUAUGUAUGAUCUUGGCGCUAUUCUCUUUCCACUCUGAAGUUAAAACUCGUGGUAGAUUGAGCUAGGAAGGACACGUGGAGUACCUCAAAAUGCCGAUCACUGCCAUAACUUCAGCAAGACAAAAGUGCCCCCUCGCUCAUGCCAGGUACCCAUUUUCAUGGCUCUUACUUACCACUUUUGUUCCUUUCCAGUGGGGUGGGUAGUUCCUGUUUCUCUUUCCCCCAAGCGGAUUUCCACUCUGUGAUUAUAUCCAAAAAUCCUGUGCUCCUUCAUGUGCAGAAACAAGUUAUUUUUUUGAAAAAAUUAUUUAUUUAUUUGAAAGGCAGAAAUACAGAAGCAAGGAGAGAGAGAGAGGGAGAGAGAGAGAGAGAUCUUCCAUCUGCUGGUUCACUUACCAAAUGGCUGCAAUGGCCAGGGCUGGGCCAGGCCAAAGCCAGGAGCCAGUAGCUUCAUCCAGGUCUCCCACGUGGGUGCAGGAGCCCAAGGACCUGGGCCAUCUUCUACUGCUUUCCCAGGCCACAGCAGAGAGCUGAAUCGGAUGUGGAGCACCCAGGAUCCGAACUGGCACCCAUAUGGGAUGCCAGCACUGCAGGCCAGGGCUUUAACCCACUGUGCCACAGCGCUGGCCUGAAACAGGUUCUUGAUUACAGAAGGGGCAUCUGGCUCUACUGGCCAUAGUUUACUGACCCCUGUGAUGCAGCAGGUAGGAACAUGGAGUCUGGAACUAGUUGGCUCUCGUGGUAACUGUCUUGUAUCCUUCAGUAUGAAGAUCCUGGAAAUGCCAGUGCCAUUGAGCUUUGUGAGGGAGGGUAUGGAAAGUGCUUGAGGACAGUGCCUGGCUCAUAGCAGCCGCUCUGGAUUUCAGCCGCUCUGGAUUUCAGCCGUUACGGAAAUAGGGUGCGUGCGGCUGUCAGGUUUACUCUCCUGCGCAGACUGAACUGGUGAGAGUCUCCAGUGGCAGUGCUGCUGGCCGACUGGCUGUGUUUGCAGGGAGAGGGCAGACCCUGGCGGCUCAGGGAGGUCUUGGCUGCCUCUGCUAAGUGACCCUGUAGCCUCUUCAUCUUUAGUGAUAUAAUGCUACAUUAGCACUCCUCUUAGAAAAUGGAGAUGCAACUCAGAAUCAUCCCAGGUGACACUGGAUUUUACAGAAAUAUAGCUAUUGUAAAUUUAAUGUUGACAGGUAAUGAAUAGGGAGCUUCAAGAAAGUCACAGGAAUUUUGUAUUAUCUUGUUCUGUUUUUUUUUUCUUUUUCCAAACUUUCUGAAGCUCCCUCCUAUAAAGCACCCUUUAAAGAUGUUAGCUGACUCUAAUGUGUCUUGAAGGCAUUUUGCAAAAAUGAUAUUUAUAGAUCUAAGCAGCUUGUUAAAUAAUAAGAAGUAAGUAGGAUGUAAACUUGAACCGCUUUUAUGCUUCUUCAGGUGUUACCUUCAGUUGAACCUUUUAUAAUCUUUUUUCCCGAUCUUUCAUGUGUUAAUAAGAUCCAAUAGCCAUCUAAUCACUUCUGGCUGUUAAAGAGAGAAAAAGAGCCCUUCGGUGUAGCCCAGUUUGAAACUCCUGUCUCAUGUGCAGUCUAGAAGUAUGCCUUCCUACUGUUUCUUGCCAUGUUGCAGUAACAGAUUUGCCUUUUGGCUUUCAGAUAACUGGAAAACAGGACAAACAUAUUAAUCAACUUUUUUCAGUCAUUGGAUUAUAGGUAGGAGGGUCUCCAAAAAGUUCAUGGAAAUUAUAUAUUGUGAAAAAGCUGUGUGCGCUUUUCAAAUUUUUUCAUACCAAAAUAUAAACUUAUCUUUGAAAGUCAUUGUCCAUAAAAUUUUUGAAAUAUCUUCAUAGUGUAAGAAUGUGAUUCUGACAAAGAGUUAAACAAGAGAAGUCCUAAAAAAUAUCCCUGCAGCUUUCUGUCUACAGGCAUUUUCUAGACGACAGUGCAAGAGAGAGGGAUCCAGGCAGCGGGUGGCAGGCUCUCUGGAGCGGCUGGAGUGGGUUAUGAGGGGUGUGAUACAGGAAAGGAAGAGGAACACUGAGACUCGAACAGUGCUGGCUGACCUGAUUUGGGCCAGGGGUGCGGCAUAGUACCAAUACUAUGAUUGAAAGAUAGGUCAUCAGUAAAAAUCCUGCAGACAUUUAAAAGAUAAUAUGGCAAUAGUAUGAACAACUUUAUGCCAGUAAAUUCUCCAACUUUUAAGACAUAGACCUACCAAGACUGACAUUAGAAAAAGGAGAGAAUCUGAAUACUUGUGUACUUUUUAAAGAAGUUGGAUCUGUAAGUCCGGAUUUUCCCACAAAGAACACUCUGGGACCAGAUGACUCACUGGUGAAUUCUGUCAGCGUUUGAAAGAAGAAAUACUGUCAUUCCUACUUAAGUUCUUCAGAAAUCAGAAGAGGAGAGAAUACUUCCCUACUCAAGAGACCAGUAUUAUCUUCCAACAGAAGCAAACAGAGAGGUGGUGAGGAGAGAAAUCUGUAGACAAAUAUCCCACAGGAAAGUAGAUAUGAAAAUUCUUACCAAAAUUUUAUCACAUCAAAUUCAGUAAGACAAAAAAAGAUCUCAGUUGUAACUCAGUCAAUAUAAUUGACCUUAUUAACAGAAAAAAGUGCUGCCAUCUCAAUAUUUGGAGAAAAAGCAUUUGACAUAAUUUGGUGUAUUUCAUGACUUAAAAAACAAAAAAAAACUUAAUAAAAUUAGAAACAGAAGGAUGCUUCCUCAGCCCGUCAAAGGGCCUUUACAUAAUACCUAUAACUUACAUCUUUAACGAUGGGAACAAGAUAUGAGUGUCCAUUCUUAGCACUUCCAUUCAGUAUCGUACAGUAGGUUCCAGCCAGUUCAGGGAGGCAAUAUAUAAGAAUGAUAUACAACUAUAGUUUUAAUGAUGUGUGAUUAUUUUAAAAUAUAGAUGAGUGAAAUUGACGUCUUUUCAUUUGGUUAUUUAUAGUCCAUGCCAAUAUUCCUGCUGAACUGCGGUCUUUUUACUUGUUGAACUCUUUAUUUAGUGGAGCAUUAAGCCUUUGACUAUAAUAUAAAUUUAAAAUAUGUUAUCUCAAAAAUUAAAAAGAGUGAGAGAGGGUAGGAGGGAAGUAUCAUUAUAUUCUUAGAAUUGUAUCUGUGACCUACAUUGAAUCUGUUCUCUUUAUUAAUAUCACAUUAACAUGAGAAUUGUUAAGAAUUGUGUUGCAGUAAUUAGCAUGAAUUUGCUGUGACCCUGAGAAUGAAUAAAUUCCUUAAAAACCAAAGGGAAUAAAAAAAGAAAGACAAUAAAGAAUUAAAAUUCUGUAUUCAGUGGUUGACAGUGUGGUGCUUGUGAUCCUGGUAUCCUGUGUUGGAGUCCUGGCCACUCUGCAUCUGAUCAGCUUCCUGCUGCUGCUCCUGGUAAGGCAGCAGGUGAUGGCCUGAGUUCUUGGACCCCUGCUCCUCUGUGGGAGACCCAAAUGGAUUUUCUAGUUCCUGGCUUUGGCCUGGCCCAGACCUGCCUGUUGUAACCAUUCAGGGAGUGAAGCAGCAGAUGAAAAAAUCUCUCUCUCUCUCUUUCUCUCUCUCUCUCUCUCUC